rnacentral:lncRNA from 1 species
CUUUUCUUGAUUUUAUUUUCUUAUUAAUUAAUUAAUUUAUUUAUUUAUUUUUCCAAAGCCAUCACCUACUUGAUCGAUACUUUCUCUUGAAACACCUGCAAACCCCAAACCUGAAUUCAGACGUCAUCAUCCUUCCAUGGUGAUGUCAGUUUGCUGCUAUGGAAACUGUGACAUCCUGAGGAUGUCUAGCAGAUAAAAAAUUCCAGCUUCUGAAAAAGCGACAAGGAUCAGACACUUCUCUAAAACACAGAUCCUGUUUGUUUUUCCAUGCAUGUUCUGAACUGAACAGAAAUUGUGCAUUGUAGAAGAAAUUUUCUAUUUCAGAUAGAGAGGAAAUAUAUGGUUUUGUAUGCUUGCUAUGCAUCUGCCAACUCAACCACAGGGAAAGACAAAAUUUACUUAAACAGGCAGUCAGGGGAGAGCAAGAUGGUUUCAGCAGGUGAUUGACUGAGUACGUGGAGAGCAAUGGUUGCUGGAAACACCAUUGCUACUUGACUGUGGAAGAAUCCUAGGAGAUUGUUUCAGCUGUCAGAACAUAGAUAGCAAUAGCCAGUUGGGUUCCUUCAGGUGUCCUGGACAUGCACAAAUUACCGACAGAUCUGACAUGGGGUCAAAUGAGACCUUCAGGAGCUGGUGAGCAGCAAGAACGUCUGAGGACAUCUCCAGUGACCUUAUGUACAGAGGCAUCUGCUUUUGGAAAGGGACAUUUAUGGAAAGAAGACACCGGCCUAGAUGGGACUGUGGUUUGGACUCCAACACCCACAAUCACCCAAGGAGAAGAAAGACAGGCUGUUUUAAUAAAUAAGUCCCUGACAAAAUCAGGUUUCAGAAAUUGAGUUUAACAUUAAGCAUGUUCAAAAAAAUUGAAGUGAGUACAGGGUGGAACUGUUAAAUUGUCCUUUUUUUUUUUUUUUUUUUUUUUUGGAAAGAGAAAGAACUGAGUAGCUAUUUGCAAUUACAUCCAUAAGAUACAUCAAUUUAUAUCUGUAUUCAACAUAAAAUGUAGAUGCGUUUUAAUAGAAAAGUUAUUCAAUAGAGACAUCAGGUGGGGAGUCCGAGGGUGAUUUUUUUUUUAUCCUUAUAAAAUAAUCUGAUGCUUUGUACCCUACUUAUUUCUGUGGCCUAUAAAGCACACCUAAGGUGUUUAGCACAUUUUUAGUUAUCUACAUCUUAGCCUCCUGAACUUAGAUAGAAGUUAUCCUAGCCUCACACCAGGUCACUACAUUCACUUCUCAUUCCAUAUCCCAGAGGAGCCAACUUUCUGCAAUGUAAUCUUAGAAAGAUGAGAGUUAGAAAGAUGUUAGUACUUCGUAUUCCUCUGAAUCUUUCCAUGAUCUUCGCAAGCAUAGUGACCCAAUUACUUAUCUAUCUGCUAGCUGCAUAUUUUAAUUGAUAGGCAACUGAAAUUUAUAUGAAAUGACUUCCAACUGUAAACUAUGACUUUUUGGGGAAAAUGACAAAUGCAGAAAGAGAAGCAAAACUAGGAUCAUUCCCUUGGUCAAAAUGUUGGUAAAGAAUAAACCUUCAUACAUGCCUCA